CUGAUAUAGCUGGCCUUUUCUCAGAGGAUAUUUUUUAUUCUACUAUAUAACACUCGGAAGAUAAUUAGGCCUGAGUGAUUAUCAUAAUUCUUCCUUUCAGAUCCCUUCCAGCCCAGAAAAUUCCAAAAUGAGCUUUUUUGUGUAUUACACUCUACGUGGAGCAGUUUUCAAAAAUACUGUGGCUUUUCCCAGGACCAGACAGCUUCCCUGGAGAAUUCUACAAACUUUCAGAGAGGAUUUAAUACCUAUCCUU
rnacentral:lncRNA from 1 species